UGGGGAAUAUUGCACAAUGGGCGCAAGCCUGAUGCAGCCAUGCCGCGUGUGUGAAGAAGGCCUUCGGUUGUAAAGCACUUUCAGCGAGGAGGAAGGUGGUGAGCUUAAUACGCUCAUCAAUUGACGUUACUCGCAGAAGAAGCACCGGCUAACUCCGUGCCAGCAGCCGCGGUAAUACGAAGGGUGCAAGCGUUAAUCGGAAUUACUGGGCGUAAAGCGCACGCAGGCGGUUUGUUAAGUCAGAUGUGAAAUCCCCGGGCUCAACCUGGGAACUGCAUUUGAAACUGGCAAGCUAGAGUCUCGUAGAGGGGGGUAGAAUUCCAGGUGUAGCGGUGAAAUGCGUAGAGAUCUGGAGGAAUACCGGUGGCGAAGGCGGCCCCCUGGACGAAGACUGACGCUCAGGUGCGAAAGCGUGGGGAGCAAACAGAUUAGAUACCCCUGGUAGUCCACGCUGUAAAACGAUGUCGAUUUUGGAGGUUGUGCCCCUUGAGGCGUGGNUUCCGGAGCUAACG
rnacentral:rRNA from 1 species